rnacentral:rRNA from 1 species
UACGUAGGGUGCAAGCGUUGUCCGGAAUUAUUGGGCGUAAAGAGCUCGUAGGCGGUCUGUCGCGUCGGCUGUGAAAACCCGGGGCUCAACCCCGGGCCUGCAGUCGAUACGGGCAGACUAGAGUGAUGUAGGGGAGACUGGAAUUCCUGGUGUAGCGGUGAAAUGCGCAGAUAUCAGGAGGAACACCGGUGGCGAAGGCAAUCACCUGGGCCUGAACUGACACUGUGACACGAAAGCGUGGGUAGCAAACAGG